rnacentral:rRNA from 1 species
UACGAGGGGGGCAAGCGUUGUUCGGAAUUAUUGGGCGUAAAGGGCGCGUAGGCGGUCAGCACAAGUCAGUUGUGAAAUCUCCAGGCUUAACUCGGAAAGGUCAACUGAUACUGUGCGACUAGAGUGCAGAAGGGGCAACUGGAAUUCUCGGUGUAGCGGUGAAAUGCGUAGAUAUCGAGAGGAACACCUGCGGCGAAGGCGGGUUGCUGGGCUGACACUGACGCUGAUGCGCGAAAGCCAGGGGAGCGAACGGG